AGCUUGCUCUAUUUGAUUAGUGGCGCACGGGUGAGUAUACCAUAGAUAAUGUACCCCUUAGUUCGGGAUAGCCACUGGAAACGGUGAUUAAUACCGGAUACUCCUUCUUGCCUCAAGGUAAGUCGGGAAAGUUUUUUCGCUAAGGGAUCAGUCUAUGUCCUAUCAGCUAGUUGGUGAGGUAAUGGCUCACCAAGGCUAUGACAGGUAUCUGGUUUGAGAGGAUGAUCAGACACACUGGAACUGAGACACGGUCCAGACUCCUACGGGAGGCAGCAGUGAGGAAUAUUGCACAAUGGAGGAAACUCUGAUGCAGCAACGCCGCGUGGAGGAUGACGCAUUUCGGUGUGUAAACUCCUUUUAUUAGGGAAGAUAAUGACGGUACCUAAUGAAUAAGCACCGGCUAACUCCGUGCCAGCAGCCGCGGUAAUACGGAGGGUGCAAGCGUUACUCGGAAUCACUGGGCGUAAAGGGUGCGUAGGCUGGCUUUUAAGUCAGAUGUGAAAUCCAAUGGCUCAACCAUUGAACUGCAUUUGAAACUGAGAGCCUAGAGUUCAGAAGGGGCAGAUGGAAUUAGUGGUGUAGGGGUAAAAUCCGUAGAUAUCACUAGGAAUAUCAAAAGCGAAGGCGAUCUGCUGGGAUGAUACUGA
rnacentral:rRNA from 1 species